rnacentral:rRNA from 1 species
CUGGCGGCGUGCCUAACACAUGCAAGUCGAGCGAGGAGAUCCUUCGGGAUGAUCCUAGCGGCGGACGGGUGAGUAACACGUGGGCAACCUGCCUCAUAGAGAGGAAUAGCCUUCCGAAAGGGAGAUUAAUACCUCAUAACAUUGCAGUUUCGCAUGGAACAGCAAUUAAAGGAGUAAUCCGCUAUGAGAUGGGCCCGCGGCGCAUUAGCUAGUUGGUGAGGUAACGGCUCACCAAGGCGACGAUGCGUAGCCGACCUGAGAGGGUGAUCGGCCACAUUGGGACUGAGACACGGCCCAGACUCCUACGGGAGGCAGCAGUGGGGAAUAUUGCACAAUGGGGGGAACCCUGAUGCCAGCAACGCCGCGUGAGUGAUGACGGCCUUCGGGUUGUAAAGCUCUGUCUUCAGGGACGAUAAUGACGGUACCUGAGGAGGAAGCCACGGCUAACUACGUGCCAGCCGCCGC